AAAUAAAUGGAGAAAAGAUAGUUGCUGAGGCAAUAAGGUAAACUUUCCUUAUCAAUAUACCCCACUCUCUGGAAUUUUCGGAUAUAUUUCAGAAUAUUUUGCAAUAUUCAGUUAUAUAUAUAUAUAUAGUAUUCUGCAUAAAUAAUGGUUAUGGGGUUAAUUGGGGAAACCACUUUGAUUAAUCAUCUAAGUGUUAAGAUGUUGCUUCUUUGUUCUAGAAGAGGACCAAGACAUCAGGAAAGUGAUGUCAUUCAUAGUUUGCAAAGGAGUUUUAAGUGAAAUAGGUUUUGCAAAGUCACCAGCCUCACACUCUCUUCCAAAGUCUUCUGGGUCCAGUGGCAAGAUACAAACCAAAACUACUAGAGAUGGUCUUAGAUGAAUGUGAGAGACCUUAGCCUUUUAAACUAAAGUCUUAAUUUCCUAGGUCUUUGUGAGACAGAGAAUGAUUUUUUUUUUUUUUAUAGUAAAAAAAAAUCUUGCAGGGGAAGAUCCUCACGGUUUCUGGCCAAAACUGAAACAGCUGCUACUGUAACACUCAGACCCAUCAGAAUCCAAAUGUAGGCUUUAAACAUUCUACAAUUCAGUGUUCUUACAAACAAUGAUAUGGAAUGUGAAGGUCAGCACUAGCAUUCUGAAUUAUUGUACAAGAAUUCAUGUUUAGUAAAACUUGCAAAAACUUAUGUAAGUUCAUUUUAAAAAUGACUGAAAAAUAGUUUUAUGUAUUAAGAUUGAUAUUCUUACGAGGAAAGAAUCUGUAGAGGUAUAGAAAACAUCUCUUUAAAACAUUUGAAGGUACACCAGUAAAAAGUUUUAUUUAUUUUGAUUUGCCAUUGAGGACAGCAUUAAGAACAAUUCAGGACUUGGAAUAGAACAUCUGCUGAAUUUACCUUAUCUCUUCCCCUUCCAGUAAACAAUGUUUUGGUGUUUUUUUUUUUUUUUUCAAUAUUACAAAUUUAGAUAUAUUCUCAAUGUAUGGACCCAGAACAUCAGAAAGCAAUAACUGUCAGAAAACAUUCCGAAAUUUCUAAAACAAUGUUAGUUCUAUUACCUUUUAGAAAUAAUUAUUUUGGAGAGGAUUAUGGGAAGAUGGUGGAGUAAGUCAGAAAAUUCUCAGUUCUCCAAAUUUCCUCCACCAAAAAAACCUUAAAACCAACCACAGAAUAUAGCCUCAGAAGGAAUAUAGAGCAGCAGAAAUAAAUCAGACUAAAGCAGUGAUUCUCUUUAGACAACCUAAGAAGACUCUAGGAAAGGGGCAGAAAUUCUGCCCAGAAUGAAGUACAAAAACCUUUAGGCCAACUGUGCAGAACCAAUAAACAACAAGCCCUAGAGGCAACUUAGUAACUUAGUAACUCCCAUCUCACAAGACAGUGUAGAAUAUAAGAAUAUUGAAGAAGCUUCCAAAGUCAAGGAAUACCAGCACAGCUAAGUUGGCCAGU